rnacentral:rRNA from 1 species
UACGAAGGGGGCUAGCGUUGUUCGGAAUUACUGGGCGUAAAGCGCGCGCAGGCGGCCAUUCAAGUCAGGGGUGAAAGCCCAGAGCUCAACUCUGGAACUGCCCUUGAAACUGUAUGGCUUGAGUAUGAGAGAGGUGAGUGGAAUUCCCAGUGUAGAGGUGAAAUUCGUAGAUAUUGGGAAGAACACCGGUGGCGAAGGCGGGUCUCUGGGCCGAUACUGACGCUGAGGAGCGAAAGCGUGGGGAGCGAACAGG